rnacentral:lncRNA from 1 species
UUAAUUGUAACACUAACUUUAUUUAAGUCAACAUAUCCAAAGUAUUAUCAUUUCAAUGUGUAAACUAUAUAAAAAUUAUUAAUGAGAUAUUAUAAUCUUUUCUUCAUACUAAGUCUGAAGUUGGUGUGCAUUUUCAGUUUCAGUGCAUCUCAUUUUGGCCUAACCACAUUUUAAGAGCUCAGUAGCCUCAUGUGACUAGUGGCUACUGUGUUGGACAGCAUAGCGUUAGAUAAUUCUCCAAGCUGAAGAGAGAGGUCAAAUAAGAGAGCGACAGUGGCUCCAAGAUACAGCUGGGGUGCCAGGGUGGGGGGUCGGCGAGGAGUCACAAUGACUCAUAGAAUGUCCAGGGAGUUUUGGGGAUCUGAGAGCACAGGAACCUGUGCUCACGUCUCAGGUGGGGCCAGGGUGAACAGGGGAGGGUAGAAGUGGCAACUAGAUGCGUCUAGGACAGCGCCCCACGUCUGCCACAUCCCCCCAAGUCUCCAGAGUGGCACAGGGGAACAUCCAACAGUUCCCCAGUCCCUAAGAGGAGUGAGGACGUGGCUCAGGAAGAAUCGUCACCAUCAGAAUAGGCCGCUGCAAGUGCAGGACUGAUGAUCCGAGUCGAUGGGAAUGUGGACACAGCAGUGAACGCCAGCCUAGAGGGGCGCUGAUGGCCAAAGACCUGACGCUUCACAUCAUGUCUCCUAAACUUCAGUGCCACUCUGGGGAGAUGAGAGGGAAAGGAGAAGUUCUGAAUUCAUAGUUUACCUGAAAUGAUGAAAAAACCCAGAGACCCUACAGCUUGCUCCCCCUGGACAGAAACUCCCUCCUGCCCCGGCCGUCCUGGGCUCCAUCUCUGUGGGCAGCCUCACUGUGCGCACCUUGGCAUCCCAGGUCGCUCCUCAGCACCCACGUCCUCACCGAAUAACGAAAGAAUGGCAGUGCAGCAGCAGCUCAGUUGUGUGCCAUCUACUGAGCAGGAUAAGUAGAAACUGCCGGGAGAGCUUUUUCCUUUUCCUUUAAAUUGUACAAUUACAGCAUUUUGGACCUAGAAAAGAAUUUAAUGA